UACACUUUAAAUCCUUCAACGAGGAUCUAUUGGAGGGCAAGUCUGGUGCCAGCAGCCGCGGUAAUUCCAGCUCCAAUAGCGUAUAUUAAUUUUGUUGCGGUUAAAAAGCUCGUAGUUGGAUCUCGGUUUCGGGCGAGUGGUGUACCUUGCGGUAUUUACUGUUUGCCCGGACGAUUUUGUUGGUUCGUUUAUGGUUCUCUUAACCGAGUGCCAUAAGUGGCCAGCACGUUUACUUUGAAAAAAUUGGAGUGCUCAAAGCAGGCGCUGCAGCCUGAACAUUAGUGCAUGGAAUAAUGGAAUAGGAUCUCGGUUCUAUUUCGUUGGCUUUCGGAGUCGAGGUAAUGAUUAAUAGGGACAGACGGGGGCAUUCGUACUGCGACGUUAGAGGUGAAAUUCUUGGAUCGUCGCAAGACGAACUACUGCGAAAGCAUUUGCCAAGAAUGUUUUCAUUAAUCAAGAACGAAAGUUAGAGGUUCGAAGGCGAUCAGAUACCGCCCUAGUUCUAACCAUAAACGAUGUCGACCGGCGAUCCGUUAUCGUUAACUGAAUGACUUAACGGGCAGCCUCCGGGAAACCAGAGUGUUUGGAUUCCGGGGGAAGUAUGGUUGCAAAGCUGAAACUUAAAGGAAUUGACGGAAGGGCACCUCCAGGAGUGGAGCCUGCGGCUUAAUUUGACCCAACACGGGAAAUCUCACCAGGCCCGGACACCGGAAGGAUUGACAGAUUGAGAGCUCUUUCUUGAUUCGGUGGGUGGUGGUGCAUGGCCGUUCUUAGUUGGUGGAGCGAUUUGUCUGGUUAAUUCCGAUAACGAACGAGACUCUGGCCUACUAACUAGACGUUAGAUCCCUUUGUGGGUCUAUCGCAGCUUCUUAGAGGGACGGGCGGCGUUUAGCCGCACGAGAUUGAGCAAUAACAGGUCUGUGAUGCCCUUAGAUGUUCUGGGCUGCACGCGCGCUACACUGAAGGAAUCAGCGUGUGUUCCCUACCCGAAAGGGUUGGGAAACCCGUUGAACCUCCUUCGUGAUGGGGAUUGGGUAUUGCAAUUAUUCCCCAUGAACGAGGAAUUCCCAGUAGGCGCGAGUCAUAAGCUUGCGUCGAUUACGUCCCUGCCCUUUGUACACACCGCCCGUCGCUACUACCGAUCGAGUGAUUUAGUGAGGCCUUCGGACUGGUCUUCAGUAUGGCUUUCGGGUCGUGUUGGAGUACCGGAAAGAUGACCAAACUUGAUCACUUAUA
rnacentral:rRNA from 1 species